rnacentral:rRNA from 1 species
GAUGAACGCUGGCGGCGUGCCUAAUACAUGCAAGUCGAGCGAACGGACGAGAAGCUUGCUUUUCUGAUGUUAGCGGCGGACGGGUGAGUAACACGUGGAUAACCUACCUAUAAGACUGGGAUAACUUCGGGAAACCGGAGCUAGUACCGGAUAUAUUUUGAACCGCAUGGUUCAAAAGUGAAAGACGGUCUUGCUGUCACUUAUAGAUGGAUCCGCGCUGCAUUAGCUAGUUGGUAAGGUAACGGCUUACCAAGGCAACGAUGCAUAGCCGACCUGAGAGGGUGAUCGGCCACACUGGAACUGAGACACGGUCCAGACUCCUACGGGAGGCAGCAGUAGGGAAUCUUCCGCAAUGGGCGAAAGCCUGACGGAGCAACGCCGCGUGAGUGAUGAAGGUCUUCGGAUCGUAAAACUCUGUUAUUAGGGAAGAACAUAUGUGUAAGUAACUGUGCACAUCUUGACGGUACCUAAUCAGAAAGCCACGGCUAACUACGUG